rnacentral:rRNA from 1 species
GACGAACGCUGGCGGCGUGCCUAAUACAUGCAAGUAGAACGCUGAAGGAGGAGCUUGCUUCUCUGGAUGAGUUGCGAACGGGUGAGUAACGCGUAGGUAACCUGCCUGGUAGCGGGGGAUAACUAUUGGAAACGAUAGCUAAUACCGCAUAAGAGUAGAUGUUGCAUGACAUUUGCUUAAAAGGUGCAAUUGCAUCACUACCAGAUGGACCUGCGUUGUAUUAGCUAGUUGGUGGGGUAACGGCUCACCAAGGCGACGAUACAUAGCCGACCUGAGAGGGUGAUCGGCCACACUGGGACUGAGACACGGCCCAGACGCCUACGGGAGGCAGCAGUAGGGAAUCUUCGGCAAUGGACGGAAGUCUGACCGAGCAACGCCGCGUGAGUGAAGAAGGUUUUCGGAUCGUAAAGCUCUGUUGUAAGAGAAGAACGAGUGUGAGAGUGGAAAGUUCACACUGUGACGGUAUCUGACCAGAAAGGGACGGCUAACUACGUG